UUAGGUUUGGUGCAAAAGCAAUUGCGGUUUUUGCCAUUGAAAGUAAUGGCAAAAACCGCAAUUGCUUUUGCACCAAACCCAAUA
rnacentral:miRNA from 1 species